AACGUAGGACGCAAGCGUUAUCCGGAAUUACUGGGCGUAAAGCGCGUGUAGGCGGAUGACUAAGUUACUGGUGAAAGCGCCGGGCUAAACUCGGCGAGGUCCGGUAAGACUGGUGAUCUAGAGGGGGUCAGAGGGGUGCGGAAUUCCGGGGUGUAGUGGUGAAAUGCGUAGAGAUCCGGAGGAACACCAGAGGCGAAGGCGGCACCCUGGGACCAACCUGACGCUGAGACGCGAAAGCAUGGGGAGCGAACAGG
rnacentral:rRNA from 1 species